AGUGGGGAAUAUUGGACAAUGGGCGAAAGCCUGAUCCAGCCAUGCCGCGUGUGUGAAGAAGGUCUUCGGAUUGUAAAGCACUUUAAGUUGGGAGGAAGGGCAGUUGCCUAAUACGUAACUGUUUUGACGUUACCGACAGAAUAAGCACCGGCUAACUCUGUGCCAGCAGCCGCGGUAAUACAGAGGGUGCAAGCGUUAAUCGGAAUUACUGGGCGUAAAGCGCGCGUAGGUGGUUUGUUAAGUUGGAUGUGAAAUCCCCGGGCUCAACCUGGGAACUGCAUUCAAAACUGACUGACUAGAGUAUGGUAGAGGGUGGUGGAAUUUCCUGUGUAGCGGUGAAAUGCGUAGAUAUAGGAAGGAACACCAGUGGCGAAGGCGACCACCUGGACUGAUACUGACACUGAGGUGCGAAAGCGUGGGGAGCAAA
rnacentral:rRNA from 1 species